GCACCAAUGGCGCAGCGGCUAGCGCUCUUGUUUUCGAAAUUUUAGUCGGGGGUUCGAGCCCACUAGGGGGUA